CACCAUUUCUUUGAACCCUAAUCAUAUCUGAGAGGUUUGUACAACAUUUUGCCAACAGCUGUAGGUUUUGUGUUAGUGUAGAGGGUUGGUGAUGUCUUAAAAGAACCAUCCUAGAACUCUGCUUAGUUAAGAAUGUGUGGGUAUUUACCUCUCCCUCACUCUUAACCUGACUAUACCAUGUGACAUUAGCUUUGGAAAAUGUCACAACAUCUAGUAGGCUUGUUUGUUUGUCAUAGAUGUAAUGCAAAAUAAUGCCAAACAAGAAAAAGUUGUCUGGUUUCCAACAUUUAGAAAACAGGUCUUUUAUUGUCAGGUCGCAUUUCCUGAGCACCUACCAAGUGAGGCCAGUUUGCUGGGCUCUGGGGGUCAGGGCUUCAACCCCCUCAUACUCAAAAGCGGGCUGUGUGGUCUGAACACUGGGGCCAAGGGCGUCAAGUUUCAGCUUUUAUAUAGCAUAGGAGACUUCUCAAAAUACAAUUCAAAACAAGGAUCCUUUUUCACCACCUCUAUGGUAACUUUAGAUUUUCUUUUUUUUUUUUUGGCAAAGGUGACUUUUAAUCACUAAAAUAUUUCUAAGAUAAAGAAUGAAGUCUAUUGACACUUGUCAAAAUGAUCAAAUGAAAGCAACACAAAUGUUUAACCCUGAAUUCUCCCUUGCACUUUUUGGUAAGUCCCCCCCCUUUUAUUUUUGAUAAGUCCUGUCUUAUGCAUGCGCGUGUGCACGCACACACACACACAUUUUGUUAGUAGAGCAUAUAUAAAAUUUACACUACCUUCUUUAUGUCAAUGCCCUGAUAUUAAACAAAGAUGAACUGUGUGGCUAUGCUUCCCUUUCUUAAAAAACUAUGUAUGUACAGAAUUGUUUUGUAGCUGCCUUGCUAUUUCAAAGUGGUGCCCAACUCCAGGCCUGCAGACUGCUGACACACAAUUAAUCUCACAAGUUUAUGAAUGCCAAAGCAUGGAGCAAAAUGAAAACAACUGGGGGAAUGUUUAAGGGAAAUAAUUGGACUGUAUCCAGAUGUGCAUGUGUAAAACAUCACCCUUUAACUCCUCCCCCAUAUCCUGUCUGAAGACAGGAGCUUUUUUUUUUUUCUUCAAAAAUAAACUGGGGUUAUUUGAACGAAGUUGUGGUCUCUGACUGAAACCGAAUAAGCAAAUCCAGUCCAGUCAUAAUUGUGUAUGUUCUUGGUGCCUUUGUUUCUUCAUUAACUCCUUGGGUGCUGAUGAAUCAAGCUGCCUUAGGGCUGUUCUUGGUGGCUAUUGUCCGAAGUUGAAGCAUACCAAUUCACCAUAGUAUGUAUGAGUUUGUAAGACUAAGUGUUGAUUUCCUUGAGUUCUGGGUUGUCAUAAACUAUAACUUUUUGUUAUUAGAAAUAGGCAGUGUUAAAUUUUUUUCACAGAGGAGACGUUCAUGUAGGAGAACAAUGUGAAGAGAAGGAAAAAAAUGUGAGAGUGUUUUGUGGAUUUGUUUUUCAUAGUCACAGGCCAGCCAAAGGAACUAGAGAGGUGGGAGAAAAGAGAUUACUCCUUAAGAUGUUUCUCACUAGCAAAAGAAGAGAAUGGAAGUAAACAUAUGACCUUGGAAUCACUGGCUCAAAGACACUAUAGACAGCACUUCUGUAAAUAAAAAUGUUAGCAGGUUGGUGUCCAGCCACCUAUCGUGCCAGAGGAGACUUUAUUCCCUCUAUAUUCCAAGAAAUAUAUCCUCAAAAACAAGAUAACUAAAUCCCACAAUAAAUCCAGCUAAUUUUGGUUAAAGGCAUUUUUUUUUGCUAUAGACUUGAUUUCUCUUGUGCUAUAUCAGAACAAAAAUAAAGAUGAACUUAAGGGACAAUAAGCCUGCCCAAAGUACUGACCUAGCCAGCCUGCCCCAUUGCAAUUAGACUUAUGAACUUCAUUGGCCCUGAGGACUAAGAAUGCAUUUCUGUUUUUAUUCAGAGACAGAAAAUGAAAAGUAGAAAAUUUUGAGUGUCCCAUCUUUCAUGAUACUUGAAGAUUUUUAAGGACUCCAAUAUUCAGAGUUCCUACAGUUGGCAGCAUAAUUCUGUGAUGAAAAUUUAGUAUUAGAAGAGUGUCAGCACUAUAUUUUGAGGAUAAGAACUAUUAGUCCAAUUGUGGUUACUUACUUAAUUUAAAGAUUAUUUUAAUGUCAUAAUUACAGAAUACAAUUUCUAUCAAAAAAUGAAUUAAUCCAUUUACUGAGAUACUUUGCCAAGAACUGAUCAAAUGGGAUUUAUUUUUCAAAAACCAAGUGAACUGGUUGGAGAAAGGAAUUGUUCUAUGUCUGGUGGCAAGAAUGAGGAAAGUAAUGAACCCAAAAGCAGAUGAGAAGAUGGCUUGUUCACACACACACACACACACACACACACACACCACACACUAUAUAGAACUGUCAUUGACUCACAUACCCCAUCUUAUACUUAUUUUUCACUCUCUAAUAUUCCAAGAAAAAUAAUGUAUCUCCUUUAUUAUUUGUAUCCACCACUAGAAAGCAAACUGAGGGCAGGGACUUGGCAGGUUUUGUUCAAUGCAUGAAAUAGACUUUAUUACA